rnacentral:rRNA from 1 species
UACGUAGGGGGGCUAGCGUUGUCCGGAAUCAUUGGGCGUAAAGCGCGUGUAGGCGGUCCGGUAAGUCCGCUGUGAAAGUCCAGGGCUCAACCCUGGAAUGCCGGUGGAAACUGUCGGGCUAGAGUCCGGAAGAGGCGAGUGGAAUUCCUGGUGUAGCGGUGAAAUGCGCAGAUAUCAGGAGGAACACCAAUGGCGAAGGCAGCUCGCUGGGACGUGACUGACGCUGAGACACGAAGGCCAGGGGAGCAAAACGGG